rnacentral:rRNA from 1 species
UACGUAGGGUGCGAGCGUUAAUCGGAAUUACUGGGCGUAAAGCGUGCGCAGGCGGUUCGCUAAGACCGAUGCGAAAUCCCCGGGCUUAACCUGGGAACUGCAUUGGUGACUGGCGGGCUAGAGUAUGGCAGAGGGGGGUAGAAUUCCACGUGUAGCAGUGAAAUGCGUAGAGAUGUGGAGGAAUACCGAUGGCGAAGGCAGCCCCCUGGGCCAAUACUGACGCUCAUGCACGAAAGCGUGGGGAGCAAACAGG